rnacentral:lncRNA from 1 species
UUAUCUAUGAAUCUUAUUUGAGUUUCUUCUGAUCUCUUAUAUGCAUGAUUUCAUAUCCUUGUAAUUCUCUUCGAAUUGUGGGUUUUGUUUGGCCAACUUGAUCUAUGAUUCUUGCAAUGGGAGAAGUGCUUGGUUUUGGAUUCAUACCGUGCGGUGACCUCACCCAGUGACAGAAGGGGUAGCGAGGCACGCAUCAUGUUGUUGCCAUCAAGGGUAAAAAGAU